GAUCUGGAGGGCAUGACCAGUGCUUCGCACAGCAGUGCAGCCUGGGUGCACUACUGACUGCUAUCAAGCACUGCAGUCCUCGCCGUUGUCUCCAUCCCUGCCUUGAAGAAACUUGAAGAGCUUGUUUGCCUCAGAGCGGAA
rnacentral:lncRNA from 1 species